AUGUCACGGCGCAGCCUGGUCGCGCUUCUCCGCCCUCGGCGGGAGCACACCAGCCCCCCCCCCCCCCCCCCCCCCCCUUUCUUUUGCCCUUCCAAAAAAAAAAAAAAAGUGCUGAGCAAAACCCCGGCUGCUUCAUCAUCCGUGGCGAUGGCUCAGGGCCACGGGGUGCUGCCGGAGAGCCCGGCUCCCCCCCUGCGUGCCCCCCACCACACCGUGAGUCAGCCUCCGGCCAAAAAAGCCCCCGCCGGGCUCUGCCUUUCUGUUUUACUCCACCCUGCGUGCUGCAGCCUCCUGGGCCAGCACCCAGGAUGGAGGCACGGGGUGCUCGGGCCCCAUCCUGCACCCUGGCAGGCUGCUGAGGGGGAGAUGCCGGGGACACAUCGGGGUGGGGGUCCCAGAUGCCCUCCGGCACGGCCAUCAGGCCUGGGUGCCCAAACAGCACCCUUCAGAGGAGGGAAAACUCUCAUUUCACUGCCUGAAUCCCCCCCUAAACCACCUCUGGGUGAGCACGGGGCGAGGGGAUGGGGUCUCUCGGGGGGUCCCUGCGGUGAUCCCACUGCCCCCACCUCCAGCGGGUGCCUUUCAUCCGCGGGAUUUCAAAGCCCUCGGAAAGCCCAAGCGGGAGCACGGUCGGUGCCCCGUGGGAUGGGGGCGAGAGCGAGGCACGGCUGCUCCCCCCUCCCAGGGGGGCUGGCGGCUUUAAUUAAUGCUUACGAGCCCCCCCGAGGGGUGUGGAUGAAAGCAGCUGGGACCAGGCAGAGUUACUGUGGGGCUGCAGGCGGGGAGGCGCGCGGGACGAGGGUUUUUCCUGACCUACUUUCCUACCUGCGCUCGCACCGGUGGUGCCCAUCCCUCCCGGGGUGUCCUGGAGGAAAUCCCCAAACGCAGCCACCCAGCCAGGGGCAGAGGUGUUGGGGGCUUCCCCAGGUGGCUCCCGGCCCCGUAUCCCCCUCCCCAAAGCCAGCAUCCCCAAAUCAAGCACCCCGUCCCACCCCAACGGGGAGCGAUGUCCCCGUCCCAAAGGGCACCGCUUCUCCAACUGGUCCCAGUGUCCGGGCGGCACUGGGAGCCGUGAGUCAGCGGGGCGAGCGCGGGGCCGAGGUCGCGGGGCCACCGUCCCCUCCCCGCCCAAACAAUAAGACAUUUCAUCCGCGGCUUGGUCCACUUUCAAGCUCAUUUCCUGCAGGAUUAUCUCAUCGGGCUUUGCCCUUAUCGCAGCGCUCGCCAGAGGAGGAGUGCGGAGCGCACGGCUGA
rnacentral:lncRNA from 1 species